rnacentral:rRNA from 1 species
UACGGGGGGGGGCAAGCGUUGUUCGGAAUUACUGGGCGUAAAGGGCGUGCAGGCGGUUUGUUAAGUGCAGGGUGAAAGCUCCCGGCUCAACUGGGAGAGGUCCUUGCAUACUGGCAAACUCGAGGGAGGCAGAGGAAAGUGGAAUUCCCGGUGUAGUGGUGAUAUGCGUAGAUAUCGGGAGGAACACCUGUGGCGAAGGCGGCUUUCUGGGCCUUACCUGACGCUGAGACGCGAAAGCGUGGGGAGCGAACCGG